GCAACUAGUGGGCAUGAGGCGGGGGGGUGCGGAGGGGGGAAGCGGUGUGCGGAAUUACUGGGCGUAAAGGGCUCGUAUGUGGUUGAGUAAGUCAGAUGUGAAAUCUCAGGGCCCAACCCUGAGCGUGCAUUUGAUACUGCUCUGACUAGAGUCCGGUAGGGGAGUGCGGAAUUCCUGGUGUAGCGGUGAAAUGCGCAGAUAUCAGGAGGAACACCGACAGCGAAGGCAGCACUCUGGGCCGGUACUGACACUGAGGAGCGAAAGCAUGGGUAGCAAACAGGAUUAGAUACCCUGGUAGUC
rnacentral:rRNA from 1 species